UAAUCGAAACAGUGUGGCAAUCCCUACAGCAGAAUGUAAAUCCCUUGGAGGUGACCCGAAUCUUCCUCAUCCAAGUUCACUUCCCGCCCACACAGAGCAUGUGAUGAGGAGCCUCAGUUCCCAUAGGCUGCCUGGCGGACUGGCUGAAUGAAGACAUCAAUCGGAAGAAGUGGGGCAGGUAUGCUGUUCCCUUUGUACAGAAGCAGAAAUUGAAACCAGCAGAAAGCUGGGACUGGGAAACCUUUCCCAAGGACCUCCUAUUCUUGAAAGCAGACACAUUUACCUGCCACUGCCCCAGGACUGAAUCACAC